GCCAGCAGCCAUAUCACCCUGCAGCUCACACCUUGCAGCCCCCUGAAGCCCAGCAGGUGUGAGCCUGGCCAGUACCUGGCUGGGAGACUCUUGGGAAAGCUAAGGUUGCUGCUGGAA
rnacentral:rRNA from 1 species